CAGCCGUAAACUAUGCGCGUUAGGUGUACUGGUGACCACGAGUCACCGGGUGCCGAAGGGAAACCGUGAAACGUGCCGCCUGGGAAGUACGGUCGCAAGGCUGAAACUUAAAGGAAUUGGCGGGGGAGGCACCACAACGGGUGGAGCCUGCGGUUUAAUUGGACUCAACGCCGGAAAUCUCACCGGAUAGGACAGACAUAUGAUAGUCGGGCUGAAGGGACUCUACUUGAUGAUCUGAGAGGAGGUGCAUGGCGUCAGUGACU
rnacentral:rRNA from 1 species